GAUGGUUUGUUCUUGGAGAAGCUACCAGGUCUCCAGGACACUUAAGUAGCCCUGAAGAGACUUCUGUAGUGAUCAAGUCUCCUGACCAAAGCCAUCUUGGAAGCAUAUGGUCCAGUGAUGCUUUGUCAAGUCUUCAGAAGAUGGCUGCCCUGGAUGAUAGCUUGAUAGUAAUCUCAUGAGACCCUGAGACAGAACCACACAAUUAAGCCACUUCCCAAUGGCCCACAAAAAUGGGGACAGAUGCUGUGACUCAGAGUUAAGCAACCACUUGGGACGCCCUCAUCACAUAUCACAGUGCUGGUCCAGCCCCGCCACUUCUGAUCCAGCUCCCUGAUAAUGCUCCAGGAAAGCAGCAGAAGAUGGCUCAACUGCUUAAGUCCCUGACACCCCUGAGGAAGAUUUGGAUGAAGGUUCUGGCUCCUGGCUCCUUGGCCUGGCCCAGCCAAGUUGUUGUUGCCAAUCGGUGCCGGUUCUAGUCCUGGCUGCUCCUCUUCUGAUCCAGCUCUCUGCUAUGGCCUGGGAAAGCAGUAGAAGAUGGCCCUAGUCCUUGGGCCCCUGCACCUGUGUGGGAGACCCGGAAGAGGCUCCUGUUUCCUGCUUCAGAUCAGCACAGCUCUGGCCAUUGCAGCCAACUAGGAAGUGAACUAGCAAAUGGAAGACCUCUCUCUCUCUCUCUCUCUCUCUGCCUCUCCUCACUCUG